CCUACGGGAGGCUGCAGUGAGGAAUAUUGGUCAAUGGACGAGAGUCUGAACCAGCCAAGUAGCGUGAAGGAUGACUGCUCUAUGGGUUGUAAACUUCUUUUAUAUGGGAAUAAAAUGUUCCACGUGUAGGAUUUUGUAUGUACCAUAUGAAUAAGGAUCGGCUAACUCCGUGCCAGCAGCCGCGGUAAUACGGAGGAUCCGAGCGUUAUCCGGAUUUAUUGGGUUUAAAGGGUGCGUAGGUGGAGUGGUAAGAUAGGUGUGAAAAUUUGCGGCUCAACCGUAAAAUUGCAGUUGAAACUCGCAGUCUCGAGUACAGUAGAGGUGGGGGGAAUACGUGGGGUAGCGGUGAGAUACUUAGAUAUCACGUAGAACUCCCAUUGCGAAGGGAGUUCACUGGACGGCAACUGAGACUGAGGCGCGAAAGUGUGGGUAUCAAACAGGAGUAGAUACCCUAGUAGUC
rnacentral:rRNA from 1 species